CUGACAUUUGAGUCAGUGGACUGGGAGAGGAAGACCCACCCUCAAUGUGGGUGGGCACCAUCCAAUCAGCUGCCAGCAGAGGUGGAAUAAAGCAAGUGGAAAUAGCUGGGAUAAGCCGGCUUGAUGAGUCUUCUGGCUUUCAUCUUUCUCUGGUCUGGGUGCUUCCUGCCCUUGGAUAUCAGACUUCAGGUUCUUCGGCCUUUGGACUCUGAGACUUGCACCAGUGGAUUUCUGGGGACUCUCAGGCCUUCAGCCAUAGACUAAAGCCUGCACUGUAGGCUUCCCUACUUUUGAAGCUUUUGGACUUGGACUGAGACACGACUGGUUUCUUUGCUCCUCAGCUUGCAGCCAGCCUAUCGUGAGACUUCGCCUCGUAAUUGUAUACAAAUACCAUAACCUUCCACUCUAUCUUCCACUAUAAGGAGGUUGUUUUUUAAGCUGGUUAAACAGACGACUUUUUAAAACAAAGAUAUGAAAAUGAAGCAGGUAGGGUUCUUCUUAAUGGAGAGAAUUGCUGAUUAAAUUGGUGACAAGAAAUUGCACUUAAAGAUUCAGCAGACAGAGAAUAUAAACACGGGGGAUAAACACAUCUGCCUGCAUCAAUCAAGGACAGCUGCGGUCUACCCCCAGAAAG
rnacentral:lncRNA from 1 species